rnacentral:rRNA from 1 species
GAUGAACGCUGGCGGCGUGCCUAAUACAUGCAAGUCGAGCGAAGCGGGCACGGGUGAGUAACACGUGGAUAACAUCCUAUAAGACUGGGAUAACUUCGGGAAACCGGAGCUAAACCGGAAACUUAUACAUGGAUCCACUCGGCAUUAGCUAGUUGGUAAGGUAACGGCGUACCAAGGCAACGAUGCAUAGCCGACCUGAGAGGGUGAUCGGCCACACUGGAACUGAGACACGGUCCAGACUCCGACGGGAGGCAGCAGUAGGGAAUAUUGCACAAUGGGCGAAAGCCUGACGGAGCAACGCCGCGUGUGUGAUGAAGGUCUUCGGAUCGUAAAACUCUGUUAGUGGGGAAGCGGUACCUAAUCAGAAAGCCACGGCUAACUCCGUGCCAGCAGCCGCGGUAAUAC